rnacentral:rRNA from 1 species
GAUGAACGCUAGCUACAGGCUUAACACAUGCAAGUCGAGGGGAAACGAUAGAGAAAGCUUGCUUUUUCUAGGCGUCGACCGGCGCACGGGUGAGUAACGCGUAUCCAACCUGCCCACCACUUGGGGAUAACCUUGCGAAAGUAAGACUAAUACCCAAUGACGUCUCUAGAAGACAUCUGAAAGAGAUUAAAGAUUUAUCGGUGAUGGAUGGGGAUGCGUCUGAUUAGCUUGUUGGCGGGGUAACGGCCCACCAAGGCGACGAUCAGUAGGGGUUCUGAGAGGAAGGUCCCCCACAUUGGAACUGAGACACGGUCCAAACUCCUACGGGAGGCAGCAGUGAGGAAUAUUGGUCAAUGGACGAGAGUCUGAACCAGCCAAGUAGCGUGAAGGAUGAAGGUCCUACGGAUUGUAAACUUCUUUAUAAGGGAAUAAACCCUCCCACGUGUGGGAGCUUGUAUGUACCUUAUGAAUAAGCAUCGGCUAACUCCGUGCCAGCAGCCGCGGU